rnacentral:rRNA from 1 species
CCACGCUGUAAACGAUGGGCACUAGGUGUGGGGGGUGUCGACUCCCUCCGUGCCGAAGCUAACGCAUUAAGUGCCCCGCCUGGGGAGUACGGCCGCAAGGCUAAAACUCAAAGGAAUUGACGGGGACCCGCACAAGCAGCGGAGCAUGUGGUUUAAUUCGACGCAACGCGAAGAACCUUACCUGGGCUUGACAUGUUCCUGACCGCCGUGGAAACACGGCUUCCCUUCGGGGCAGGAUCACAGGUGGUGCAUGGCUGU